rnacentral:rRNA from 1 species
GGCUCAGGAUGAACGCUAGCGGGAGGCCUAACACAUGCAAGCUGAGCGGUAGAGUCUCUUCGGGGACUUGAGAGCGGCGUACGGGUGCGGAACACGUGUGCAACCUGCCUUUAUCAGGGGGAUAGCCUUUCGAAAGGAAGAUUAAUACCCCAUAAUAUAAUUGAUGGCAUCAUUGAUUAUUGAAAACUCCGGUGGAUAAAGAUGGGCACGCGCAAGAUUAGAUAGUUGGUGAGGUAACGGCUCACCAAGUCGAUGAUCUUUAGGGGGCCUGAGAGGGUGAUCCCCCACACUGGUACUGAGACACGGACCAGACUCCUACGGGAGGCAGCAGUGAGGAAUAUUGGACAAUGGGUUAGCGCCUGAUCCAGCCAUCCCGCGUGAAGGACGACGGCCCUAUGGGUUGUAAACUUCUUUUGUACAGGG